rnacentral:rRNA from 1 species
AUACGGAGGGUGCAAGCGUUAUUCGGAAUCACUGGGCGUAAAGGACGCGUAGGCGGGAAGCCAAGUCUGAUGUGAAAUCCUAUGGCUUAACCAUAGAACUGCAUUGGAAACUGGUUACCUAGAGUAUGGGAGGGGGAGAUGGAAUUAGUGGUGUAGGGGUAAAAUCCGUAGAUAUCACUAGGAAUACCGAAGGCGAAGGCGAUCUCCUGGAACAAUACUGACGCUAAGGCGUGAAAGCGUGGGGAGCAAACUGGAUUAGAAACCCUAGUAGUCC